UACGGGGGGGGGCAAGCGUUGUUCGGAAUUACUGGGCGUAAAGGGUGCGUAGGCGGCUUUCUAAGUUGGAUGUGAAAACUAUGGGCUCAACCCAUAGCCUGCAUCCAAAACUGGAGAGCUUGGGUUCUGGAGGGGAAAGCGGAAUUCCUGGUGUAGCGGUGAAAUGACGUAGAUAUCAGGAGGAACACCGGUGGCGAAGGCGGCUUU
rnacentral:rRNA from 1 species